GACGAACGCUGGCUGCGUGCUUAACACAUGCAAGUCGAACGCUGAAACCCUGGUGCUUGCACCGGGGUGGAUGAGUGGCGAACGGGUGAGUAACACGUGAGUAACCUGCCCCCGACUUCGGGAUAAGCCCGGGAAACUGGGUCUAAUACCGGAUAUGAGCGCCCCUCGCAUGAGGGAUGCUGGAAAGUCUUUUCGGUUGGGGAGGGGCUCGCGGCCUAUCAGUUUGUUGGUGAGGUAAUGGCUCACCAAGACGACGACGGGUAGCCGGCCUGAGGGGGCGACCGGCCACACUGGGACUGAGACACGGCCCAGACUCCUACGGGAGGCAGCAGUGGGGAAUAUUGAACAAUGGGGGAAACCCUGAUGCAGCGACGCAGCGUGCGGGAUGACGGCCUUCGGGUUGUAAACCGCUUUCAGCAGGGAAGAAGCCCCUUGGGGUGACGGUACCUGCAGAAGAAGUACCGGCUAACUACGUGCCAGCAGCCGCCGUAA
rnacentral:rRNA from 1 species